AGUGAACGUUGGCGGUAGGCCUAACACAUGCAAGUCGAACGGCAGCACAGUAAGAGCUUGCUCUUACGGGUGGCGAGUGGCGGACGGGUGAGGAAUACAUCGGAAUCUACUUUUUCGUGGGGGAUAACGUAGGGAAACUUACGCUAAUACCGCAUACGACCUACGGGUGAAAGCAGGGGAUCUUCGGACCUUGCGCGAUUGAAUGAGCCGAUGUCGGAUUAGCUAGUUGGCGGGGUAAGGGCCCACCAAGGCGACGAUCCGUAGCUGGUCUGAGAGGAUGAUCAGCCACACUGGAACUGAGACACGGUCCAGACUCCUACGGGAGGCAGCAGUGGGGAAUAUUGGACAAUGGGCGCAAGCCUGAUCCAGCCAUACCGCGUGGGUGAAGAAGGCCUUCGGGUUGUAAAGCCCUUUUGUUGGGAAAGAAAAGCAGCAGGUUAAUACCCCGCUGUUCUGACGGUACCCAAAGAAUAAGCACCGGCUAACUUCGUG
rnacentral:rRNA from 1 species